GCCCCAGAGAGUUAAGUUUAGCCCCCCUCGCUGGCCCAGAGAAUUGUUUUACUCUCUCGGACAGAAAAGUCAAGUUGAGUAACAGUCGGCCGACUCCGCUGGGCCCCCUUGAACUCUGAGCUGCUGGAGGAUGGUCCUCAUGGCAGCAGUAGCCCACCCCCAGUGACAUGCUUCCUCCAACAAGGCCGGACCUACUCCAACAAGGCAGCACCUCCUAAUGGCCACUCCCUGAUGACGAAGCGUUCCAAUCCAUGAGCCUACGCGGCCAUUCUUACCCAAACCGCCACGAUUCUACAUCAUUCGUGUGGUCCACAGUCCUCCUGAAGUCAUCAGCUAAGAUGUCGUUAGCCCUCCUUGCCACUUGAUAAGUAGACUGUGACUACGAGUGAGGCUCCAACAGUGAAAAGUGAAAAGAGAUAAAGAGUGCUGAGGGCAGUACAUGAACUCCUGGAUUCAGACAUAACUGAAGCCACUUGUACCUGCAUGAGAUAAAAACAACACAACCCAUCUGAAUUAUGUUCUAGUGGGCUUCUUUCCAGUGCAGUCUCAAGGAAUUCCCUAUAUUUGGAAGGCAGGAAAACUUCCCAGCCAAGUCCAAGAAGAGUGUCUGAGCCUCAGGCUUCAUGCCUGGAGCAGAUCACCAUGCCUCCUGGCCCAGGAUCCUGUGCUUUUCUUUAACUAGAAUAAACAGUGUCCAGGGUU